UAGAUCCUGCAGAGUCACCCUCA
rnacentral:piRNA from 1 species